AGCCAUACGAGAGUGUGCUGUGCGGAGUGGUGUGUGGCGAGCCUGUGCACUGAUAAAGAACACCAUUGUUUCCAUUCAGGAAAUAAAGUGGCAUCGAUCAGAGACUCCUUGUUUUCUUAAAACACAACACAACGCAGAGUCGAGGAGUCUGUUUGGGCCGAACUGUUGCAGCAGGAUGAAGCAGAAACCGGUUACAUCAGCAAGCAAAGAAAGACACAACUCAAACAUGUAUAUACAUGGGUGAUCUCAGUGGAGACUCACACUGAGACAUUCACUUCCCUCUUUAUUUAUACACUGCUCCUUCCUAAAAUAUGUCGGGUCGGUGCCCCUUGUGUGUAAAACAACUCCUUACAAGGUGAUAAGCAUGAAACAUAUUUAAACUGUUAAAAAUAGUAACCGGUCAAGCUUAUCUCAGCAAACUCAGCAAAGGUGGAGGCACCUGUGGUAUUUCCUCAUGCAAGCUUUGUCAUGAAACACAGUGAAAUAGGAGUUUUAAAUGAAGCUAAACAACUAGGGAUUUUUUAACUACAAUAAAGCAGAAUACAUAUAAAAAUCC